AUAUAUCAUGUCGUAGGGGAUAAACGUGAUCAACAAGGCGGUCGCCCGGAGUGAGGUCCUUUCAUUGCACUGCGAUCGGACUGACCUCUGCCAUUAUCCAUAAUGAGGAUUACAUUGGACGAUUAAUUUUUGAUAGUAGGGACUGAAUAUCCGUGGUCCCUG